GUGAAAUUGUUGAAAGGGAAACGAUUGAAGUCAGUCGUACCGACGAGAAAUCAACUUUUUGAGUGCUUACUUGUGGGCGUGUGUGAGCUGUCAAAGGCCUCGCUGUUUGCAUGUUUGUGCUUUUUGGGUGUACUUUUUCGUAUGGUAGGCCAACGUCAGUUUCGAUCACUAUAAAAUGAUCGGAGGAAUGUAGCUUCGGCCUCGGUUGAAGUGUUAUAGCCUUUGGUAAAUGUGGUGAUUAGGACCGAGGAUUGCAACGAAUACCUUUUAGGCUAUCCGUCUGACCUCUGAAAGUUACUUAGGUGCCGAAAGCUUGCUUACGGUCAUUUAAGUUGACGGUCAAUAGGUUAGAACGUGAUUACAUUCGUUAAGGACGUUGACGUAAUGGCUUUAAACGAC
rnacentral:rRNA from 1 species